UUUUUGGAGAGUUUGAUCUUGGCUCAGAGUGAACGCUGGCGGCAUGCCUAACACAUGCAAGUCGAACGGAUCUUGGUUGCCCGCAAGGGUGAUUAAGAUUAGUGGCAAACGGGUGAGUAACACGUGGGUAAUUUCCCUCCGACAUGAACACAACCUUGAGAAAUUGAGGCUAAUAUUCAAUAGUCUUAGCUUUACUAUGUAGAGCUAGGUAAAGGUCUGGGUUAAACCAGACGGUCAGAGAUAAGCCCGCGGUCUAUCAGCUAGUUGGUAGGGUAAUGGCCUACCAAGGCUUUGACGGAUAGCCGGCCUGAAAGGGUGAUCGGCCACAUUGGCACUGAGAUACGGGCCAGACUCCUACGGGAGGCAGCAGUGGGGAAUUUUGGACAAUGGGCGCAAGCCUGAUCCAGCAAUGCCGCGUGAGGGAUGAAGGUCUUCGGAUUGUAAACCUCUUUUGGAGGGGAUGAAGCUUCUAGCAAUAGGAGUUGACAGUACCUUCCGAAUAAGCCACGGCUAACUACGUGCCAGCAGCCGCGGUAAUACGUAGGUGGCGAGCGUUAUUCGGAUUUACUAGGUGUAAAGCACAGGUAGGUGGUCGAGUAAGUUGGGAGUGAAAGCCCUUGAUAAGUCAGGGGAUGUCUUUCAAAACUGCUCGGCUUGAGUGUAAGAGGGGAAACCGGAAUUCCAGGUGUAGCGGUGAAAUGCGUAGAUAUCUGGAGGAAUACCGAUGGCGAAAGCGGGUUUCUAGCUUAUUACUGACACUGAGCUGUGAAGGCGCGGGGAGCAAACAGGAUUAGAUACCCUGGUAGUCCGCGCGGUAAACUAUGUUCACUUGGUAUGGGAGGUAUCGACCCCUUCUGUGCCGAAGCUAACGCAUUAAGUGAACCACCUGGGGAGUACGGCCGCAAGGUUGAAACUCAAAAGAAUUGACGGGGGCCCGCACAAGUGGUGGAGCAUGUGGUUUAAUUCGACGCAACGCGAAGAACCUUACCCGGGCUUGAAGUUCUGGUGGUAUCCUGACGAAAGAUUAGGAGACUCGCAAGAGAGCCAGAAGAGGUGCUGCAUGGUUGUCGUCAGCUCGUGCCGUGAGGUGUAUGGUUAAGUCCCAUAACGAGCGCAACCCUUGUCCUAUGUUGCUAACUUCGCAAGAAGAGCACUCUUAGGAGACUGCCCAGGUUAACUGGGACGGAAGUGGGGAUGACGUCAAAUCAUCAUGGCCUUUAUGUCCGGGGCUACACACGUGCUACAAUGGCCGCUACAGAGGGAUGCCAAACCGUAAGGUGGAGCAAAUCCUUUAAAGGCGGCCCCAGUUCAGAUUGAGGACUGCAACUCGUCCUCAUGAAGUCGGAAUCACUAGUAAUCGCUGAUCAGCAGGCAGCGGUGAAUACGUUCCCGGGCCUUGUACACACCGCCCGUCACACCAUGGGAGCUAGUUGCAACAGAUGUCCCGCCUCGCGUGGGAUGAAGUUGUGAUUAGUGACUGGGGUGAAGUCGUAACAAGGUAGGCGUACGAGAACGUGCGCCUGGAUCACCUCCUUU
rnacentral:rRNA from 1 species